UGUCCAGUAACUCCUAUCCCUACCUCCCGUGGUGCGCCUGGGAUACGAGUAACCGUAGGGUAGAUCGGGUAACCAACCCUGGUGGAACCUUGGUCGUAUGCUGACAGGGAAGG
rnacentral:ribozyme from 1 species